GAAGGAGGCACGACGAUGCCGGUCUCCUAUUCCCUAGGUACGCCGCCGCCGCGUCUGUCGAUCUCUCUUCGCUCUAGGCCACUGCUACUCUUGCAGCCGCCGUUUCCAGUUUCCACUCAUCCCCAAACCUGGUUCCUCCCGAUCCCUCACCUCUUACAACCGAGGAUGAAUCAUUGGUGUGCUGCCACCUUGAGCGAGAUGCCGCCGAUGCGCAAGGAAGAUGUGAAGGGGCAGAACUACACUCGCAACCGGCAACCCUAUUGAGGCUGCAGCGGUGGACGCCCCUUGACGGGCAGGCGGCGAGAAUGGCGCGGUGAAGAACUCUCGCGUCCUGAUUCCAGUUCGAUGUCGCAUUUGACAACCGGCGCCAGGGAGAAGGUCAAUGCUAAGCAACCAAGCAGUAGGAUUAUCCGUCCGGUUCUAUCAAUUUUUGCAGUCGUUGUGUCCGUGUUGUGUUCGUUGGCCGGUGACCGAUUCAGUUUUGCAUAUGGGGAUAUUAAUGUGGAUAUUUGAUUUUUAGUUCAAGUAAUUGGGUUCCUGCCAUUUCUAUCUGUACAUACAUCCAAUUUCUAAGCAUCAGAGGUAAUCAGUCCAGUCAACCAGAAGGUUUUGAUUCUCUACCUGUCGGCAUUAGUCUGUACUGUACUCUUGUGCCUGUUUUCUGCCUGCCCCCUGUCUCCUAUGUGGCUCUCUGAAUCCUGCUGGCAUGUAGAUGACUUAUUUGGCCUUCUGGAAGAUGUCUCUUGAUUUAUAAACUCGAGAUGGUUGGUGUGGAUUAUGAGCACACACGCACACCUUGCCGCUGGUUGGUGUGGAUUCGUAAAGCAGGAGCCUCUCCUUCAGCGAGGCGGCAGGUGGGAGAAAGAUUGAUAAAAUGGUGGUGCCCGGCGGCUGGGAGGACCACGGCGAGCCUCUCCUUCAGUGAACUUUGUUCCUUGAGUUGAUCACAUGGCUGAAGAAAAUAACACGCGAAGAUAUUAAUUAUUAUAUUAAUGUACGUACAAUAUAUGUUAGUUCCUCUGAAGAAAAUAACAUGUGAAGAUAUAUUCUUAUUAAUGUAUAGCAUAUGUCGACUUUGAUGAUUUGUACUUAUCAAGUGUUAAGAUUUUGCUUAUUUUUCUUUUAGGAAAGGAAGCUAUUUUCUGUAUUGUACCAAUAUAUUCCAAUGUUCUUUUAUUAUUGUACAACAUAUGUAGACUUUGCUGAUU